AUGAACGCUGGCGGCGUGCCUAAUACAUGCAAGUCGAGCGAACGGACGAGAAGCUUGCUUCUCUGAUGUUAGCGGCGGACGGGUGAGUAACACGUGGAUAACCUACCUAUAAGACUGGGAUAACUUCGGGAAACCGUAGCUAAUACCGGAUAAUAUUUUGAACCGCAUGGUUCAAAAGUGAAAGACGGUCUUGCUGUCACUUAUAGAUGGAUCCGCGCUGCAUUAGCUAGUUGGUAAGGUAACGGCUUACCAAGGCAACGAUGCAUAGCCGACCUGAGAGGGUGAUCGGCCACACUGGAACUGAGACACGGUCCAGACUCCUACGGGAGGCAGCAGUAGGGAAUCUUCCGCAAUGGGCGAAAGCCUGACGGAGCAACGCCGCGUGAGUGAUGAAGGUCUUCGGAUCGUAAAACUCUGUUAUUAGGGAAGAACAUAUGUGUAAGUAACUGUGCACAUCUUGACGGUACCUAAUCAGAAAGACACGGCUAACUACGUG
rnacentral:rRNA from 1 species